GCCGGGGUAGCCUAGCCUGGAAUGGGCGCCAGACUCAUAAUCUGGAGAGCGUGGCCAAGCGCCCAGAGGUCGCGGGCUCGAAUCCCGCCCCCGGCA
rnacentral:tRNA from 1 species